rnacentral:rRNA from 1 species
UGGGGAAUAUUGCGCAAUGGGGGAAACCCUGACGCAGCGACGCCGUGUGAGGGAAGAAGGCUUUCGGGUCGUAAACCUCUGUCAGGAAGGAAGAACCUCUCAAGGCUGAACAAGCCUUGGGACUGACGGUACUUCCAGAGGAAGCACCGGCUAACUCCGUGCCAGCAGCCGCGGUAAUACGGAGGGUGCAAGCGUUAAUCGGAAUCACUGGGCGUAAAGCGCGCGUAGGCCGUCUUUUAAGUCGGACGUGAAAGCCCUCGGCUCAACCGGGGAACUGCGUUCGAAACUGGGAGACUUGAGUCCUGGAGAGGGUGGCGGAAUUCCGGGUGUAGGAGUGAAAUCCGUAGAUAUCCGGAGGAACACCGGUGGCGAAGGCGGCCACCUGGACAGGUACUGACGCUG